UACAGAGGUGGCAAGCGUUGUUCGGAAUUACUGGGCGUAAAGGGCGCGUAGGCGGUCUUCUAAGUCUUGUGUGAAAUCCCUCGGCUCAACUGAGGAACUGCACGGGAUACUGGAAGACUUGAGUUCGGGGGAGGGAAGCGGAAUUCCGGGUGUAGCGGUGAAAUGCGUAGAUAUCCGGAGGAACACCGGUGGCGAAGGCGGCUUCCUGGACCGAUUACUGACGCUGAGGCGCGAAAGCUAGGGGAGCAAACGGG
rnacentral:rRNA from 1 species